rnacentral:rRNA from 1 species
CGCGGUAAUUCCAGCUCCAAUAGCGUAUAUUAAAGUUGUUGCAGUUAAAAAGCUCGUAGUUGGAUUUCGGAAGGUCUUUAGUGGUCCGCCCCUUCGGGGAGCGGGUCACUGGCCUCCUAUGUUCCUAACGGUCCUCAUCCGCGAGGGUGGGGAAUCAACCGCUAGGAUCGUUUACUUUGAGGAAAUUAGAGUGUUCAAAGCAGGCGUAACUCGCCUCCGAAUACGUUAGCAUGGGAUAAUGGAAUACGACUUCGGUCUUGUUUCGUUGGUUUCGCUUGGCUGAAGUAAUGAUUGAUAGGGACAGUUGGGGGCAUUAGUAUUUAGUUGUCAGAGGUGAAAUUCUAGGAUUUACUAAAGACUGACCAAUGCGAAAGCAUUUGCCAAGGAUGUUUUCAUUAAUCAAGAACGAAAGUAGGGGGAUCGAAGACGAUCAGAUACCGUCGUAGUCUCUACCGUAAACUAUGCCGACCAGGGAUCCGGAGAGUUUGCAUGGAUGACUCCCCGGGCACCUUGUGAGAAAUCAUAAGUGUUUGGGUUUUGGGGGGAGUAUGGUCGCAAGGCUGAAACUUAAAGGAAUUGACGGAAGGGCACCACCAGGAGUGGAACCUGCGGCUUAAUUUGACUCAACACGGGGAAACUUACGAGGUCAGGACACUGUGAGGAUUGACAGAUUGAAAGCUCUUUCUUGAUUCAGUGGGUGGUGGUGCAUGGCCGUUCUUAGUUGGUGGAGUGAUUUGUCU